rnacentral:tmRNA from 1 species
GGGGGCGUCCUGGUUUCGACGGGUAGUCUGCGAUCGUGGUAGCAUGCCGAGGAUGAUUCGUUGGCCUCGUUAAUCAUCGGAUCAAACCAAUAAAAGCAAACUCUUCUGAGCUCGCUCUCGCGGCCUAAGCACCGCGACGUCCUCAAGGCAAUGUCUGGUAGCCUUGACGACGUCUUUACCAGACUGGCCAGUUGACCGGGCGACCGGGUCGAAGGCGAGAUUUAACAGGACGCUGGGCUUGAGGUAUUCUGCUGAUUGAAGACCCCUCGCCGAGAUUAAAAAAUCAGAUAAGCAUGUAGAAGCUGCGGUUUACGGCCAUUCGGACAGGGGUUCAACUCCCCUCGCCUCCACCA